rnacentral:lncRNA from 1 species
AGGCAAAUCUUUUUAACGGAUUAAGCUACAUGACAAGAUAGUAAUACAAUGCAUUUAGGAGCUCUCUUUUAUGGCAGAGAUCUCUCCAUACCAAGAAUCAAUGUCAAUUAUCAAGCUAAUAAAAGUGAGCAUAAAACAAAAAUUACGAAAAGAAAAAGAACCUUAGGAUGCGAAGAAGAAGUGACAACUGGAAAUCCAUUAAUUACAGCUGAAUUGGCAGUAGGAGACGACCCAACAAGGGAGUGUUGCAAAUGGGUCGGUCUAACACCCGCACCAGCGGUCGGAACUGAACCCGGAUCCAUAUGAUUGAGCCCAAAAGGUGGUCGAGAGCCAACAACGGGCCGAUUGGGGUAAUUACUAGAACUAGGUUUGGGCAAAAAGCCGCGGCCGGAGGAAGCAACUGGGUAGAGAAAGCCUUGAAGAUGAUGUGGUGGGUCGGGAUUGUUAGGAGGUUUUGGUACUAAUUGAGAGUAAUUAGGAUUGGAGAGGGGUGGUAGGCGUUGAGGUGGUUGGUUUUGGGUAGGUGGGUAGUGAGAAGAUUGGAGGGAAAAAGGGUGCAGUUUAGGUUGAGGGGUGGGUGGUCUUAUAGGGU